AAUAGUGUGGUGUAGUGGUUUGAGCAUUGGACUAUGACUCUGGAGACCAGACUUCAAAUCCCUGCUCUGCUG